GAAAUGCGAUAAGUAAUGUGAAUUGCAGAAUUCAGUGAAUCAUCGAAUCUUUGAACGCACCUUGCGCUCCUUGGUAUUCCGAGGAGCAUGCCUGUUUGAGUGUCGUGAAAUUCUCAACCUGACCAGCUUUUUGCGAGCUAAUCAGGCUUGGAUGUUGGAGGUUGCUGGCUUCUACAAAAUCAGCUCCUCUUAAAAAUAUUAGCAGAACCUAUGCUGAUCAUCUUUGGUAUGAUAAUUAUCUAUACUAUGGAGGAUUGGCUUCCUUAACUGGACGGUUUCGCUUCUAAUCGUCUAUUGCAGACAAUUUCUGAUAAUUUGACCUCAAAUCAGGUAGGACUACCCGCUGAACUUAA
rnacentral:misc_RNA from 1 species